AUUACACUCCCUAAAUUACAAACAAUACAACAGAGAGUAAAUUACAAGUUUAACCCCCACUGGACACUGGUAACUUUCCACCAAACAUCAUCAGAGAUGUUCACUAAAUAUAAUAUUUGCAGAAACAAAGAGACCCUACACCCUCACAUGGCUUCAUAGAAAAAAUACAUACAACACAUUCCAACUUGUUCUUGAAUAUUCCCCACAUUAUUAAUUGAUGAACAAAGAAGAUCUUUAAUACAUUACUUUUAUAUUAUACUUCUUCUGCUGCAGCUAGAUCUCCCUAAUUCUGAAAAUUUUAUUCCUAUUCUUUCUUUUUAUUGGAAUAGAGAAAUAGUAGUAGGGGGGGGGGGGGGGGG
rnacentral:misc_RNA from 1 species